rnacentral:rRNA from 1 species
UACGGAGGGUGCGAGCGUUGUCCGGAUUUAUUGGGCGUAAAGAGCUCGUAGGCGGCUCGUUGCGUCGGCUGUGAAAACCCGCAGCUCAACUGUGGGCUUGCAGCUGAUACGGGCGGGCUGGGAUUCGGUAGGGGAGACUGGAAUUCCUGGUGUAGCGGUGAAAUGCGCAGAUAUCAGGAGGAACACCGGUGGCGAAGGCGGGUCUCUGGGCCGAUAUCGACGCUGAGGAGCGAAAGCGUGGGGAGCGAACAGG